CGACCUUCUGAGGCGAACGGGCGGGCGGUGGCGAUCGCUCCUCCCCGGGUCGUUGCCGUGGCCACCGGGAGGCGUCGGGUCGAUGCUCGGCGGCUGCCGCCAUGAGCCGGGACGAUGUGCGAGUGCAGUGGUUGCGGGACAGGGUGCUCGCCGCCCUGGGGCUGACCGAUCCGGCGCCUUUCGAGGAGCUGCUGCAGCGCGGCCAUGGCGAGGGGGCACGGGCUGUGCUGCGCUUUUUGGAGCGCGGCGCCCCGGACGGGGACGGGGAGAGUGAGGCGGACACGGCGCUGCUGCUGCUGCGGGCCGAGCGGCGCGGAGAAGACGGCGAGAAGGCAGCGGGGAUGACCCAGAGUGUGUCAGGUCAUGGAUCAACUCUCCCUAGUGGGUCUGAAUUGAGUAAAGUGGAGGAAACGGUUACAAGUGACAGUAUGGAACACACACUGCAGCUACAAGAACAGAAAGCUGACAAAGUGUGUUUCUACGUGGCUCUUGAUGAAAUUCCUGAAGAAUUUGUGUCAGAUUUUACUGUGUAUUUUCUCAGAGAUGCCAAAGAAAGAGUUACUGAACCUAAGGACUUGACUGAAGCUAAUGAGAUUCUUCCUAAACUGAUAAAGUUUGGUCCGCUGACUGAUGAUACUCUUCUGAUGCUAAAGAAUGCUAUCUCACAGGUGUUUUCACCAGCUGUCUCAUAUAGUCAGCAGCAGACUGAGGAAACUUCUGUCCAUCUAGAUAGUGACGACACAGAUUCUGAAAAUGGAAAUUUACCCAAGACUGAGCUUGUAGAAGAGAAAGAACAACCUGUGGAAUGUGGUGAUAAUCAGAUAGGGAAUGAGCCUCAGCAGUCUGCACAACCAGCUGAAGGAGAUGUUAAACUGGAGAUGCCAACUGUAAAUCUAGAUGGAGAAGUGACUGUUCUUGCCACAGUUCCAGAAGUGGUUGAAGCUCUGGAAUAUUGUGCGAUGACCUGGCAGAAAUUAAUAUCCACAGCUCUAGAAGAAGAGCUGAAAAAGGUUCCACAGGGUAAUGGUCCACUUGCAGAAAUUGAUCUCUGGCGUGAAAGAAAUUAUGCUUUAAGUGCUCUUACUGAACAGACAAAGCUUCCAGAUGUGCAAAAAGUCUUGGAAAUACUACAGGAAGCUGAAUCUGACUAUAUUGGAGAUUUACAGAUGGUCUUGAGUGAUCUCAGAAAACAUCAUGUGGAAGCUCUAGAUAACACUAUGUUUCUUUCGACUCUUGAACGCCAUUUUAAGAGUUUAACAUAUGGCACUGAGCUGCAUGUUGUCUUGGAUACAAUUCCUUCCCUGAUGAGUGCCUUGAGGAUGAUAUGGAUUAUCUCUCGGCAUUACAACAAGGAUGAACGGAUGGUGCCCCUCAUGGAACGGAUUGCAUGGCAAAUUGCAGCAAGAGUGAGCAAAGCUGUGGAUUUACGCACGCUGUUUAAAGAAGAUAGCGCUGCUGCAAAAGCGAAAAUAGUAGAUGCCAAAACUACUCUUGAAGAAUGGAGGAAAUGUUAUUUUGCUGUUCGUGCCCAAAUUGAAGCAUCGGGAAGAGAGCAACACUGGGAAUUUGACCGAAAACGUUUGUUUGAAAAAACAGAUUAUAUGACUUCAGUCUGUCAAGAUCUGUAUGAUAUUUUGCAGGUCAUUGAAGAGUUUUACAAUCUAUUCGGUUCAGAACUGACAGCGAUCACAGGGGAUCCAAUGCGUAUUAACGAUCUAACGAGAGCAGUAAAUGGACUAGUUAGUCCCAUGGAACAACUGACUUUUGACCCUUUUAACAUCGAAUGUGCUCGUGACUGGAAAUCAGUUAUGGAAGUAUUUAAAGAAGAAGUUUCAGUUAUUGAAGAAGAGACCAAAACUCUUAUUGAUGAAUCUUUUAAGACCCCUCGAUCAGCAGAAGCUGCAUUUGACAUGCUGUUAAACUUCAGACACAUCCGCUCUCGUGAAGCCAUUAAUAAGCAGAUAACAAUGAAGUUCAAUGAUAUUUUGGACCAAUACUGUAAAGAGGUUGAAAGUGUCAAGCAAAUCUUUGUUCAGAACCUCAAGGAUCCACCUUUGUACAAGAAUCAUCCUCCAGUGGCUGGAGCAAUAUACUGGUCCCGAUCCCUUUUCUAUCGGAUCAAACACACUAUUGUUCGAUUUCAAGAAGCAGAGGAGUUGCUUGCUAGUGAACGUGGAAAGGAAGUGAAACAAAUAUAUCUUCAAGUGGCGAAGAGGAUGAAAGAGUAUGAAGAUGAAAAAUAUAAUCAGUGGAGGGAUGGGACAGAACAGAUACUCCCAACGUUAUUGAAAAAUACUCUACUAACUGUCACUGGUGGGGCUGCAGCCCGUGUUAAUCCAGAGACUUCUGAGCAGAACUCUGUAACAGGAGAGCCUGUCACCACAAAGAAAGGUGUCCACUUCAUGGUGAAUUUUUCUCCUAUGUUCCACGAGAUUAUCAUUGAAACAAAGUACAUGGAACAACUAGGGUUUCCAGUCCCAGAAAAAGCAAGAUAUAUGGCAUUACAGGAAGAUAAAUAUAGUAGGUAUACAAAUGGAUUGAAAAAAAUGCUGGAUCACUAUCACAAAUUAAUGGGAACACUGAAUGAAGCAGAAACCCAACUACUUGAUGACCAUAUUCAAAACCUCUGGAAAAUAUUCAAAUCAGGGCACAGUAGACUCAACUGGAAGUCCGUAGGUAUUGCUGACUUUAUUGUCCAAUGUACACAAGCCAUCAAGAAGUUUGAAUCACUUGUUCAUCAGAUUCGUUAUAAUUCUGGAGACAUAAGCAACAAACUUCUGUCCAUAGAAUCAACAAACCUCUUUAAGUUUCCGCUUCCAAAAAAUGGUGAUGAACUUCCUAAAGUGAAAGAAUUUUUUGAGUAUUUAAAGUGUGAGAGAGCAAAAGAUGUGGCAAACAUGGUUCAAAAGUAUACUGCCAUUCCACAAUUGCUAAUAAAAGUAGAAGGACGAGUUGCCAAUACAAACAGUGGCAGGUCUCCAAAAUUAGCUUCCUAUUAUGCAUACUGGGAAAACAGGAUUUAUCAGGUGUUGACACAGUUAAUUGUGAAGAAUUUGCAGGCUUUUAAUGCAGCUGUUCUUGCAAAUGUGCCAUUGUUCCAAGCAGAAGCUAUUUUAUCUGCUCCUGAGUUAAUCUUGCAACCUAAUGCCAGUGAGAUUGACAAAAUGACUGCACAAUGUAUCCGAGAUUGUGUUGAGGUCACUAAGCAUUUUGUACGAUGGAUGAAUGGUACGUGUAUUGAAUGCCCUCCUCAGCGUGUCAUGGAAGAUGAAGUUAUCACUUUCAGCUUUUACAACGACAUCUCCCAGAACCCUCAAAUCAUUGAACAGGCUGUUCUCAUCACUCAGAACAUCCACAAACUCCUGGCUUCUCUCAGCAAGUAUUUGAACCAAUGGAAGAGGUACCAGCUACUGUGGAAAUUAGACAAAGACGCAGUCAUAGAGAAGUUAGCUGUGGAAAAGCCUGCUUGUAUCACUUUUGAUGAGGAGUUACAGUUCUAUAUGAAGGUAGCUCAAGAAGUUACUCAACAGCCCUUAAUUAAAGAUGAGCAAUGUGUCAGGCUUCAGCUGGCUCCUUUAGCUUGCACACUGCAGGCGAGUGCUAGAGGCUGGGUGACUGCACUUGGAAAGUUGCUUAAUCAGUCUGCAAGAGAAGAACUCUUCAGGCUUCAGGAGGAGAUUCAGAGCUUGUCACAGAUUCUUAAGAGACCUCCAAAUUCCCUGGAUGAUCUGAGAAUUGUCCUUGGCACAAUUGAGGAGAUCAGAGCCAUGUCCUUCAAGGUGGAAAUGAAAUAUUUAGAUAUCUGGGAGAGAUACCGAACUCUUGCAAUGUACAAUCUUCCAGUGGCUAAAGAAGAGCAAGAGAUGGCAGACAAGAUUAAGGAAAAAUGGGAGACUCUCUUCUUGGAAGCAUUAGAAGUUGAUCACAGCCUUGGAGGCAUGAAAAGCAAAUUCAUAAAGAUUACAAAGCAACAAAUUGAGGACUACAGCAAAGAGAUAGAAGAUUUCUUCCAGAAAUUCAUAUCUGAGGGUCCUGGUGCUGUUGGGGAAGAUCUUGAUAAAGGGCUGGAGCUCAUGGCCGUUUUUGAAAAAGAAGUGGAAAAACUGGAAAAAACUCACCAGGAACUGGGUGGUACUGAGAAGCUUUUUGACUUGCCAGCUACCCUGUACCCUGACUUAAUAAAAGCACAGAAUGAUAUGAAAGCUCUAAAGCAGAUCUACGAAAUUUAUGAAUUACAAAAAGCAGCUAAAAAGGAAUGGUCUCAGACACUAUGGAUAAACCUCGAUGUCCAGGUUCUUCAGGAUGGAAUUGAAGGAUUUCUUAAAGCCCUUCGAAAGCUGCCCAAACAAGUACGCAGUAUGCCAGUAGCCUUUCACCUGGAAGCAAAAAUGAAGGCGUUUCGAGAUUCCAUUCCUUUGUUGCUUGAUUUGAAAAACGAAGCUUUAAGAGAAAGGCAUUGGCAAGAACUUAUGGAGAGAACAGGAACAAGAUUUGAAAUGACAACAGAAACUUUCACUUUGGAGAAUAUGUUUGCUAUGGAACUUCACAGACACUCAGAUGUUAUCAGUGAAAUAGUUGGAAAUGCUGUUAAGGAAAUUAACAUUGAGAAGAGUGUGAAGGAAAUAACAGAAACAUGGGAACAGCUGAAAUUCACUGUACAAACAUACUUCAAAGGCACUGUGCAGCGAGGCUUUAUUCUGGGAUCUGUAGAUGAAAUUUUAGACACCCUUGAUGACAACAAUGUCAAUCUUCAGAGUAUUUUGGGCAGUCGAUUUGUGGGUCCUUUCCGUUCAACUGUUUACCGCUGGGAAAAAACUCUGUCGUUGAUUGGUGAAGUAAUUGAGAUCUGGAUGGUGGUUCAGAGAAAAUGGAUGUAUCUGGAGAGCAUCUUUAUUGGUGGAGAUAUCAGAACACAGCUUCCAGAGGAAGCCAAAGUGUUUGACGGCAUAGACAGGAUGUUUAAAGAGAUAAUGGAUGAAACUGUAAAAGACCCAACAAUAAAAAAGUGCUGUGAAGCCCCAAAUCGUCUAUCAGACUUCCGUCAUAUAAAUGAUGUGCUGGAGAAAUGUCAGAAAAGCUUGAAUGAUUAUUUGGAUUCCAAGCGAAAUGCUUUCCCAAGAUUUUUCUUUAUAUCUGAUGAUGAGUUGCUUAGUAUCCUUGGCAGCACUAACCCCCUUUGUGUCCAGGAACACAUGAUAAAGAUGUAUGAUAACAUAGCCUCCCUGAGGUUUGAGGAUGGUGAAAACGAUGAGAAAAUCGCAACAGCCAUGAUUUCAGCUGAGGGGGAGGUGAUGGAGUUCCGGCAGGCUGUAGCUGCAAGAGGCAGAGUGGAGAGCUGGAUGACAGCAGUGCUGGAAGAAAUGAGACGAACAAACAGACUCCUUACUAAGGAAGCUAUUUUCCGAUACUGUGAAGACAGAAGCAGGGUUGAUUGGAUGUUACUCUACCAAGGCAUGAUGGUGCUGGCUGCUAAUCAGGUGUGGUGGACUUGGGAAGUAGAGGAUGUCUUUCGGAAAGUAAAGAAGGGAGAAAAACAGGCAAUGAAACUUUAUGCUAAAAAAAUGCAUAAGCAGAUCGAUGAACUGGUUACCCGCAUUACAACUCCUUUGAGCAAAAAUGACAGGAAAAAAUACAACACUGUUCUCAUUAUUGAUGUUCAUGCCAGAGACAUUGUUGAUACAUUCGUAAGAGACAGCAUCCUGCACGCUCAGGAGUUCGAAUGGGAAAGCCAGCUGCGUUUUUACUGGGACCGGGAGCCAGACGAGCUGAAUGUGCGGCAGUGCACAGGCACCUUUUCAUAUGGUUAUGAAUAUAUGGGGUUGAACGGACGUCUUGUGAUCACCCCACUUACAGAUCGUAUUUAUCUUACACUCACACAGGCUUUAUCGAUGUUUUUGGGAGGAGCGCCAGCAGGGCCAGCAGGUACAGGGAAAACAGAAACCACCAAGGAUCUGGCCAAAGCGCUGGGCUUGCUGUGCGUAGUGACAAACUGCGGAGAAGGCAUGGAUUUCAAAGCAAUUGGUAAAAUUUUCUCUGGCCUCGCCCAGUGUGGAGCAUGGGGAUGCUUUGAUGAAUUCAAUCGUAUCGAUGCUUCUGUGCUUUCCGUCAUUUCUUCUCAGAUUCAGUGUAUUCGAAACGCUUUAAUGAAUCACUUGAAAAAGUUUCAGUUUGAAGGACAAGAAAUUAGCCUUGAUAGCCGUAUGGGCAUUUUUAUUACAAUGAAUCCUGGUUAUGCUGGCCGGACUGAGCUCCCUGAGUCUGUAAAAGCUUUGUUCAGGCCUGUGGUUGUUAUUGUACCAGACCUUCAGCAAAUCUGUGAAAUCAUGCUCUUUUCUGAAGGAUUCCUUAGGGCAAAGAUGCUUGCCAAAAAGAUGACAGUGCUAUACAGGCUGGCAAGGGAACAGCUUUCUAAACAACAUCAUUACGAUUUUGGACUGCGGGCCCUUAAGUCAGUGUUGGUGAUGGCUGGAGAACUGAAAAGAGGGUCAGCAGACCUCAAUGAGGAAGUUGUACUGAUGAGAGCUCUACGGGAUAUGAAUCUUCCUAAAUUUGUGUUUGAAGAUGUACCUCUCUUCCUUGGCUUAAUCUCCGACCUGUUUCCUGGCCUGGACUGCCCUCGGGUCCGCUACCCUGACUUUAACGAUGCUGUAGAACAAGCACUGGAAGAAGAGGGUUAUAUUAUUUUACCAGUCCAGGUGGAUAAAGUAGUUCAGAUGUAUGAGACAAUGUUAACUCGUCACACUACAAUGGUGGUUGGACCUACUGGAGGUGGCAAGUCAGUUGUCAUUAAUGCUUUGUGCCACGCCCAAAACAAGUUGGGAUUACUGACAAAGCUUUACACACUGAACCCUAAAGCUAUGAGUGUGAUUGAGCUUUAUGGGAUCCUUGACCCUACCACACGAGACUGGACAGAUGGAGUCCUGUCAAACAUUUUUCGGGAGAUCAACAGGCCUACUGACAGGAAAGAGCGAAGGUACAUUCUAUUUGAUGGAGAUGUGGAUGCUCUCUGGGUUGAAAACAUGAAUUCUGUCAUGGAUGACAACAAGUUAUUGACCCUGGCAAAUGGGGAACGGAUUAGACUUCAGUCGCACUGUGCUUUGUUGUUUGAGGUUGGUGACUUACAGUAUGCAUCUCCUGCCACGGUAUCCCGCUGUGGAAUGGUCUUUGUAGAUCCUAAAAAUCUGAAAUAUAAGCCCUUCUGGCAGAAGUGGGUCCAAGGAAGAGGAAAUGAGCAAGAGAGAAAAGAAUUGGAUCGCCUCUUUCAAAAAUAUGUGCCCUACCUUAUCGAUAUGAUUGUAGAGGGAAUUGUGGACGGCAUACAUACAGGAAGGCUGAAGACCAUUGUUCCUCAAACAGAUUUAAAUAUGGUGGUGCAGUUGACUGCAAUGCUGGAAGCUACAGUUGUGGCACAGUUUGAUGAUCCUGAAGUUCUGGAGUGUUUUUUCUUGGAAGCUUUGUAUUCCUCCUUAGGUGCUGGCCUUCUUGAUGCUGGGAGAAUUAAAUUUGAUGAACAUGUUAAACGUAUUUCCUGCAUGUCUACUGUUACCGAUGAGAACGUCAUGGCUAAGCCAGGGGAGCUGCCAGGUCAGCUGCCAACUUUGUAUGACUUUCACUUUGAUGAAGUUCAAAAGAAGUGGGUACCUUGGAUGAAACUUGUUCCUGAAUAUAUUCAUAACCAUGAAGUGAAAUUUUUUGACAUUUUAGUGCCUACAGUGGAUACAACACGCACUACUUGGUUACUAGAACAGAUGGUAAAAAUAAAACACCCAGUUGUUCUUGUGGGUGAAUCUGGUACAUCUAAAACAGCAACUACACAAAACUUCCUGAAGAAUCUGGACAAAGACUUUAAUCUGUUGCUAGUAAUUAACUUCUCUUCUCGUACAUCAUCAAUGGACAUUCAGAGAAACCUAGAGACAAAUGUAGAGAAACGAACUAAAGACACUUUUGGCCCUCCUGUCGGAAAACGUCUUGUAGUUUUCAUGGAUGAUAUGAAUAUGCCAAAGGUUGAUGAGUAUGGCACACAGCAACCCAUUGCCCUGUUGAAGCUGCUGCUAGAGAAAGGUUUCAUGUACGACCGUGGUAAGGAGAUGAACUGUAAAUUUCUUCGAGACCUGGGUUUUGUUGCUGCCAUGGGGAAAGCUGGAGGAGGUCGGAAUGAAGUUGACCCUCGAUUCAUCUCACUCUUCAGUGUUUUUAAUAUAACUUUUCCUUCUGAGCAAUCACUGAAUUUGAUCUAUGCCUCCAUCCUGAAAGGCCACACUGCGAUUUUUAAUGAGUCUGUAUCAGCCAUCUCUGACAAGAUUACUGCGUGUACUUUGGAGCUUUAUAAACUGAUUGUUCGUGACCUACCCCCUACUCCUUCCAAAUUCCAUUACAUUUUUAACCUGCGGGAUCUAUCCAGGGUCUAUAAUGGACUUGUUCUUACAACUCCGGAGAGGUUUCCAACGGUGACCCAGAUGGUGAGGGUGUGGAGAAAUGAGUGCCUGCGGGUUUUCCAUGACAGGCUGAUUAAUGAAGCAGACAAAGCAUUGGUACAAGAUCAUAUAAAAAACCUGAUUGAAGAGAAUUUCAAAGAUGACUUGGAGCAUGCCAUGAGGGAUCCGAUUCUGUUUGGAGAUUUCAGGACGGCACUGAGUGAGGAGGAACCUCGUAUUUAUGAAGAUAUCCAAGACUAUGAUGCAGCAAAAGCUCUCUUUCAGGAGAUUUUGGAGGAUUAUAAUGAAUUUAAUAUUAAAAUGAAUCUGGUUCUUUUUGAUGAUGCUUUAGAACACUUAAUCCAUGUACAUCGCAUCAUACGGAUGUAUCGUGGGCAUGCCCUGCUCAUUGGAGUGGGAGGCUCAGGAAAACAGUCUCUAGCGAGACUGGCUGCCUAUACAGCUGGAUGUCAGGUAUUUGAGAUCAUCUUAAAUCGAGGCUAUGGAGAAAGUAGUUUCCGAGAAGAUUUGAAAAAUUUGUACCGGAAACUGGGUAUUGAGAACAAGUCAAUGGUCUUCUUGUUCACAGAUUCCCACGUAGCAGAAGAGAGUUUCCUGGAACUUGUCAACAACAUGUUAACUGCAGGAAUGGUGCCAGCCCUUUUUGCAGAUGAUGAAAAAGAUGCCAUACUAAGUCAGAUUGGAGAGGAAGCUAGUAAAGCUGGCGUGGACCCAGCUAAAGAGAGUGUCUGGCAAUAUUUUGUAAGCAGAUGUGCAAGCAACCUUCACAUUGUCCUGGGAAUGUCCCCAGUUGGGGACAGUCUGAGAACGUGGUGCAGAAAUUUCCCAGGUCUUGUCAACAACACUGGUAUCGACUGGUUCUUGCCCUGGCCUACCCAGGCUUUGUAUGCAGUUGCAGAAUCCUUUGUUGGAAAUAACACACGCAUUCCAUCAGAGAGCACCACUUCAGUGAUUGAGCACAUGGUCAUGGUGCAUGAAUCUGUAAUGGAUUUCAGCAAGAGGUUUCUGCAGAAACUGAGACGUAGCAACCACGUCACGCCAAAGAAUUACCUUGAUUUUAUCAAUACUUAUUCAAAAUUGCUGGAGGAGAAAAACCAGUUCAUUUUAGCACAAUGUAAACGGUUGGAGGGGGGCUUAGAUAAACUGAAGGAAGCCAGUGUCCAGCUGGUUGAGCUGAACCAGAAGCUUGCUGAGCAAAGGAUUGUGCUAGCAGAAAAAUCAGCUGCUUGUGAGGCUCUGUUAAAAGAGAUUUCAACAAACACAGAAGUAGCUGAGGUGAAGAAAAAACUGGCCGAAGAAAAAGCUGUGGAGAUGGAGGAACAGAAUAAGAUUAUCGCUACGGAGAAGGCGGCUGCUGAGGCAGCUUUGGCUGAAGUCAUGCCUAUUUUAGAAGCUGCCAAACUGGAACUUCAGAAGCUUGACAAGUCUGAUGUUACUGAGAUCAGGUCCUUUGCAAAACCCCCUAGGCAGGUGCAGACUGUUUUGGAAUGUGUUCUCAUAAUGAGAGGUUACAAAGAAUUAAACUGGAAGACAGCCAAAGGAAUGAUGUCUGAGGCAAAUUUCCUGAAAUCCCUGAUGGAGAUAGACUUUGAUGGAAUCACUCAGAGCCAAGUGAAAGCUGUCCGAGGUCUGUUAAAGAAUCUCAACACCACCUUCAGUGAAAUGGAACAAGUUAGCAGAGCAGGACUGGGAAUGUUAAAGUUUGUUGAAGCAGUGAUGAGCUACUGUGAUGUAGUUAAAGAAGUCAAGCCAAAGAGAGAAAAGGUGGCUAGGCUAGAACGGAACUAUUUCUUAAGUAAGCGGGAACUGGAAAAGAUAAAGACAGAGCUGGCUACCCUUCAGGCUGAGCUUAAAGCUUUGGGGGACAAAUAUCAAGCGGCAAUAACAGAAAAGCAACAGCUGCAAGAAGAAGCAGAGCUUAUGCAGAGAAGAUUAGAGGCUGCUGGCAAGCUCAUCUCUGGCUUGAAAUCUGAGAACGAAAGGUGGACAAAGGAAUUAGAGGACUUUGAAAUACGAAAGGUCUGGUUGCUUGGAGACUGUCUACUCUGUGCUGCCUUUCUGAGCUACGAAGGAGCAUUCAACUGGGAGUUUCGUAAUGAAAUGGUCUAUAAAAUGUGGCAAGAAGAUAUUGUCUCACGAGAGAUUCCUCUCAGUCAACCGUUUAGGUUGGAAAGCCUCCUGACCAACGAGGUGGAGGUUAGCAGGUGGGUUUCCCAAGGAUUGCCUCCAGAUGAGCUCUCUGUCCAGAAUGGCAUCCUGACAACAUAUGGAAGCCGCUUCCCACUCUGUAUUGACCCACAGCAACAGGCAUUACACUGGAUUAAGAAGAAAGAAGAAAAAAAUAACCUGAGGACGGCUUCCUUUAAUGACCCGGAUUUUCUCAAACAGCUGGAGCUGGCCAUAAAGUAUGGAAACCCUUUCUUGUUGCAUGGUGUCGAUGAAUACAUUGAUCCUGUGAUAGACAAUGUCUUAGAGAAGAAUAUCAAAGUUGUACAGGGACGAACAUUCAUUGUCCUGGGUGACAAAGAGGUUGACUAUGACAGUAAUUUUCGAUUGUACCUGAACACCAAAUUAUCAAACCCAAAGUAUUCUCCCUCUGUGUUUGGCAAAGCUGUCGUUAUCAAUUAUACAGUUACACUGAAGGGCCUGGAGGAUCAGUUGCUCAGCGUCAUUACGGGUUUUGAAAGAAGGGAAUUGGAAGAACAGAGAGAAAAUCUCAUCCAGGAGACAAGUGCCAACAAAAACCUGCUGAAAGAUCUGGAAGACUCUCUGCUUCGGGAACUGACGUCUUCCACAGGAAACAUGUUGGACAACUUGGACUUGGUGCAAACCCUGGAAGAGACAAAAACUAAAGCUACUGAGGUGAUUGAAAAACUGAAACUGGCUGAGACAACAGCGGUGGAUAUUGAUCGUCUUCGAGAUGGCUACAGACCCGCUGCCAAGAGAGGGGCCAUUUUAUUCUCCGUUUUAUCAGAAAUGGCAAUUGUCAACAUCAUGUAUCAAUUCUCCCUGGUCUCCUUCUUAGAGGUUUUUGGAUUCUCCCUUCGGAAAUCCAUGCCCAGUCCUAUUCUUCCAAAGAGGUUAAAAACCAUCAUGGAUACACUGACUUUCAACACCUACAACUACGGCUGCACAGGUUUGUUUGAGAAGCACAAGUUACUGUUCUCCUUUAAUAUGACUGUCAGGAUAGAACAAGCUGAAGGCAGAGUUCCACAAGAAGAACUGGAGUUCUUUUUGAAAGGCAAUAUUUCCCUGGAGAAGAGUGCGCGAAAGAAACCGUAUGCUUGGCUUCCAGAUCAAGGCUGGGAAGACCUAAUUCGCUUGUCUGAACUAUUUCCUGAGAAAUUUGAAUCUCUUCCAGAUGAUGUGGCAAAAAAUCCAGAUGUAUGGAAAAAUUGGUACGAUACAGAUGCUCUGGAGCAGCUGCCAUUGCCCAUGUACUACCAGGACAAUCUCACAGCCUUUCAGAAGCUCCUGCUCUUACGGUGUUUCCGGGUGGACCGGCUCUAUCGCGCAGUAACGGACUACGUUACUCUGACAAUGAGCGAGGAGUAUGUGCAGCCCCCAGUGAUCAGCUUUGAAGCGAUCUUUGAGCAGAGCAGUCCUUACUCACCGGUUGUUUUUAUCUUAAGUCCUGGCUCUGAUCCUGUCAGUGACCUCAUGAAACUGGCCGAGAAGAUAGGCUUUGGAGGGGAUAAACUCAAAUUACUCGCCAUGGGACAAGGCCAAGAAAAGAUUGCUUUGCAGAUGCUGGAGAACGUGGUGGUUACUGGAGAGUGGCUCAUGUUGCAGAACUGUCACCUUUUGGUGAAGUGGCUUGUCAGUCUGGAAAAGGCCCUGGAGAACAUUACGGAGCCUCACCCGGACUUUCGCCUCUGGCUCACCACUGACCCGACAGAGGGCUUCCCAAUUGGAAUCCUGCAGAAGUCCCUAAAGGUACCGUGCAGCAGGGAACCUGGGUCAGAAGGGCACGUCCUGCUACUAUUCUACAGCAAAACAGAUCGGCUUUGGGAGGAGCAUGACCAGAAUGUGCAGCGUGUUGACUUGGGCUGUUGUGACGGAACCACCUAAUGGUCUGAAACUGAACAUGAGAGCCACCUACUUCAGAAUGCCCAAGGAAGCCUUAGAGCAGUGCCCACAUCCGGCCUUUAAAUCCUUAGUCUACGUCUUGGCAUUUUUCCACGCUGUGGUUCAGGAGAGAAGGAAGUUUGGGAAGGUUGGCUGGAACGUACCCUAUGAUUUUAAUGAAUCUGAUUUUCAGGUCUGCAUGGAAAUUCUUAACACAUACCUGACAAAAGCUUUUGAACAAAACGAUGAUAAAAUCCCCUGGAGCAGUCUCAAAUACCUUAUUGGGGAGGUCAUGUAUGGUGGGCGCGCAAUUGAUAGCUUCGAUCGUCGCAUUCUGACCGUCUAUAUGGAUGAGUACCUUGGCGAUUUCAUAUUUGACACAUUCCAAACAUUUCAUUUUUAUAAAAAUGACACAGUUGACUAUAAAAUACCACAAGGGGUUGAAAAAGAUCACUUUGUUGAGGCAAUAGAAUCUCUGCCACUUGCUAAUACUCCAGAGGUGUUCGGUCUUCAUGCAAAUGCUGAGAUUGGGUAUUACACACAGGCUGUUCGUGAUAUCUGGUCUCAUCUUCUUGAGCUGCAGCCUCAAACAGGUGAAACUGGUGCGGGAAUUAGUCGCGAUGAAUAUAUUGCAAAUGUUGCUAAGGAUAUAGAAAACAAAAUACCGCAAGUAUUCGAUCUUGACCAGCUACGGAAAACUUUUGGACGAGCGAUAACCCCUACGACUGUGGUGCUGUUGCAGGAACUGGAACGUUUUAACAAGCUGAUCAUUCGAAUGGCAAAGUCAUUGGCUGAACUACAACGUGCCUUGGCGGGGGAAGUCGGGAUGAGCAGUGAACUGGACGAUGUGGCUCGGGCUCUUUUUAAUGGACAGAUUCCUGGCAUCUGGCGGCGCCUGGCCCCCGACACACUCAAAACACUUGGAAACUGGAUUAUUUUCUUCGGAGCUCGGUAUAACCAGUACACCAGCUGGGUUAACGAGGGGGAGCCAAAGGUGAUGUGGCUCUCGGGCCUCCACAUCCCCGAGUCCUACCUGACCGCUCUGGUUCAAGCCACCUGCAGGAAAAACAAGUGGCCCCUGGAUCACUCCACCCUCUACACGGAGGUGACCACAUACACGAGAGCAGAAGACAUCACCGAAGCGUUGACUCAAGGCUGCUUUGUUUCCGGGCUGUUCCUGGAAGGCGCAGCCUGGGACACGGAGCGCGGCUGCCUCACCAAGAGCCAGCCCGGGGUCCUGGUGGUGGAGCUGCCGGUGCUCAGGAUAAUCCCCACGGAAGCGCACCGGCUCAGGCUGCAGAACACCCUCCGGACGCCCGUGUACACAACCUCCAUGAGAAGGAACGCGAUGGGCGUGGGCCUUGUUUUUGAAGCUGAUCUUUACACGACGAAGCACAUUUCCCACUGGGUCCUCCAGGGCGUUUGUCUCACCUUGAAUGCAGAGUGACCAUUUGAAGGUGGCACUAGAUCUUCUCCACAGACUCCACCUCUUUGGUUACGGAAUUAAACUAUGCAAAGAUUCACACCAUGGGUGAGAGAGUGUUUGCUUAGGCACACCUGUGUUAAAUAGUAUGGUACAACCAAACUUGUACUAUCAAUAAACACAUUUGAAGUAAAA